UGUUUUCACUCGGAAUUCUAUUCUUAAGAACUAACAUCUUGCCACGAAUAAUAGAAUUCAAACAACCUGAAUGCCAGGGUACCUUACGAAAGUUCUUGUCUUUGCACCCUGGUAAAAGAACUUUUCCUGUGUAGGAGUUCUAAUCUAUGUUUCGAUAGCAAAAUGAAGGAGCUCUUUCAGAAAGACUAAGAGCAAUCACCAGGAACUUCAUCUAACAGUUUUGUUCUAGUCUCCAUAUGUUCAAUAGUAGCAGUGCAGGUAACUUCUUAAUUUCUUGCUCAUUUGUAGGAACUGGACCCACAGGUUGGAGAGCAGUUGCUACAGCUCUGGGACAGUAUUCCUUUGACAGGAAAAAACUCAACUGAUUGAACAUGUCAAGUAAUGUGAUAGAGCUGUCGAGGUUGAAACGUCAGAUGUAACUUCCAGAACCCAUAGCAUGCCAGCAGUAUGAAGAUGAGGAGGAAGGUGGCACCACAAGCUCCAGAAGUUGUUAGUCAUGCUGUGAAGCUAGUAGAGGAAAAAUAAGGGGAAUUAUGUUGGUUUCAGCAUUUCCUUGUCUUAACAAAUGUCCUGAUGUUAGUCACCAGCCUGGUUUUGACUGAAUUAGUUUGUUUAUAGAAGCAUGCAGUUGAUACUUAAAAACACAUUUAAAUUCCAGACUGAGUUUGAAACAGUAGAGCACAUGCAAGUUGUUUGUGGGUUUAAAAUAGCACAGCAGACAGUUUAAAUACACAGUUUACACUUAAAGCUUUCUCAACACAAUAAAAUCUGUGAGAGAAACCAGUGUAAUGUGAAUUAAUCGAUCUUGCAGUUUGCUUAAAAUAAAUAAAUUGAGAAUA